CCAGGGCUCACUGGGCAUCGCGCCCAGUUCCGGGAGGCUGCCAUCGCCCCUGCCCUGCCUCCAGGCUCCCCCCGGCCUUCUCCUCCGCAGCUGCUCCCCCCGCCGCCCCCAGCUCUCUGAGGUCGCCCUCCUCGCCCCGGUGCCCCCCGGCCCAGCGGAAGCCGAGGAGGCGGGUGCCCCGCCGCGGCUUGCGGGCCUUCCAGCGGCAGAGGCGGAUGGCACCGAGGCUGGCCCGGAGCAGGGCGCUGUGGCCGAAGACGAGGAGGACUGGCAGCCUCUAGUGGGCAGGGACGGUGCCUUGGUGCCUCCGUUUCUCCCCCUGGCCCUCAGCCCAGGUUUCAACCCCGUGGCGGCUCAUGACAGCAAACUUUCACAGAAACCCUCCACGGCGAAUUUGGACGCCGCAUAGAUGUCGUUGGACGUGAUACCUGCGUGGCGAAGGAACCCAUGGGCUCUGAGACCUGCCCCCUGCCACCCCCGGCCCUCCGCCAGGACCCAGCGGGCCCUCUGUAUCUCUCAGCAGGAGCAUCCCCGUCCCCCCUUUCUUUGCCCUGGUGACAGCUCCUCCCCAGAGCCAGCUGCAGAGUGAAGGAGCCAUGACUCCAUCUCUCAUGCAGACAUCCCUGGGAAGCCAAGGGCGCCCCAGGAAAAGGAGGAUCCAGCCUCUGCCCGCCCUCCCGGACCUUCCCAGGUGUGCCCAGCUCCCGUCCCACACACUCUUACCCCUUACCACCUCCGAUACCUGGUUUCUAACCCUCCACGACCCCCAGCGCCAUAGCCUGGACACAGGAGGUUCCCCCGUCACUCCCGCCAUGUGCCCACCCACCCCCCAUCCCGCACCCUGCAGGCCCAGAACGCUGCUGAUGACCGCGAUGUGCCCUCGGCGCCGCUCCUUCGUGGAGGGGGAGCAGCGCCUGGCACCAGCCGCACCAGCCCGAAGAAGUCGGUGUCCGUGACGUGCUGCGUCUCUGCCGGCGCCAGGCUCUCCGGGGGCCCGAUGAGUCCCACGCCCGCGUUGCUGACUGAGAUAAUGCGGGGAUCCGGGGCGGGGAGGAUGAUUCUCUCCCCUCCCUCGCAGAGACCGAAAGGGGUCCCAAGAGGUCGCGGGGCCUUUCCCCAAGCGCCACCCCCCGCGACCCCUCCGUGUCUCCCAAAAGGAACAUCCCCAUCCCCCAUUUCUUUGUGCUGGUGACAGCCCCUCCCCAGAGUCAGCCGCAUGGCGGAGGAACCACGACUCCAUCUCUCAUGGAGAUGACCCCCGGAAAGCCAAGGGGGCUCCAGGGGAGAGGAGGAUCCGGCCUCUCCAAGGGGGGCUCCCCAGGACUCACCAGACCCCAUCCCCUAGAAUUUUCUUCCUCGCUCCCACCCUAGGGCGCUGGACUUCCCGAUGUCCCUGGCCGGUGGCCCACAGCCCACUCCUCCCCAGGUCCACCCUCCCCGCUCCGCGGGUCUUAGCCAGCACAUCCACGCCGGGCGCGGGGAGCUGGCGCAGGUAGCGGGCGACGGAGUCCUCGUCACACCCGUCCAGCUCCCCCAUCUCCAGGGUCCGCCCCAGCGCCGCCCCGGCCGCCUUCUCCGGGGCCCCACGCCUCCCCGGGUCUCGCGUGGUGGCCGGCACUGCGGCCAGGGUGGGGAUGGGGCAGGAUAUCGGGGGUCACCGUGUCCGCCCCCAAACCCCGUUCCUCUCCCCCCCGGCCGAGGAUGUCCCUCUGGCCUCCCUUCCGCCCCUCACCUUUGAAGCGGCCCCGAGGAUCCGUGGCCAGUCUCACAGCCAGCGCCAGCCCGACGCCCGAGGAGCAGCCCGUGACGAGGACGCUUCUGGGGGCCAUGGCGAGGUGGGCACCAGAGGCUCAUCUCCCCGGGCCCCUAAUAAAAGGUGGCCCCUCCCCCA